GAUCAUGGCUCAGGAUGAACGCUGGCGGCAUGCCUAAUACAUGCAAGUCGAACGGACCGAAGGGAAAGCUUGCUUUUCCUGAAGUCAGUGGCGAACGGGUGAGUAACACGUAGGUAACCUGCCCAUGUGCCCGGGACAACGCCUGGAAACGGGUGCUAAAACCGGAUAGGUAGAGAGAUCGCAUGAACUUUCUAUUAAAGGGGUACGUACGGCCCUCGAACAUGGAGUGGACCGUCGCGGUGCAUUAG
rnacentral:rRNA from 1 species